GCCGACCUCCAUGACAGAUGAAAGUAUAGCUCGACUUCCUGGUUAUAAGGAUCCCAUAAGUGUUCAAUGUGAUCCACAAUCAACCUGACCUAAAUGCCCUCUGAGCCGUAGUUUCAACCUACUACCUCCUGAUUAGAUUUUCGAUGAAGCAUGAAAUUAGAGAGAUCCAAGGAGACCAAGCGCAUGCGCAACAAUGUUAUAUGACAACUCUUCAAGAAGUUAGGUGACCCAAGGCACUCCCAGUCCAAGGAUUGGACGUUAGCAACGAGCUAAGUGAGCAAUGCAAUGAGCCAUGAAGGACCUCGUCUUAGGACCAUUGG
rnacentral:lncRNA from 1 species